rnacentral:rRNA from 1 species
UACGAGAGGUCCAAACGUUAUUCGGAAUCACUGGGCUUACAGAGUUCGUAGGCGGCUCUACAAGUGAGGUGUGAAAGCCCUCGGCGUCGACCGACGGAACGUAGCGCUUCUAAACUAGUAGAACUAGAGGAAGAUAGAGGUGAGCGGAACGUAGAUGGUGGAGCGGUGAAAUAGCGUUGAUAUCAUCAGGAACACCGGAGGCGAAGGCGGCUCACUGGG